UGUACUUGUGCCCGCCCAUACGGUUCAGUCAUAUGAGCUUGUGGGAGUGGUUAAUAGUGACAAAGUUGGUUUGCUAUAAAGUCUCGCUCCUCGCGCUGCUACACCAGGAAGAGGAGAAUGAUCCAGUUUUCUGCUUGACUACUUAAACCAUCCAUGUGACCAUACACGGAUCCUACACGAUGACACUCUUCUGGAGUAUCGCGAAGACCGACACUUGGAGUUGAACCGAGCAGUGAGACAGGCAGAUGUUUACCAGCGGAGGAAUCUCCGGUGGAGGGAGCAGAUGUGUGUUAACAUGGCACUGACAAGAACACAACUGACAAACACCAGGAUUCAUCAGCCGAUGAAGACUUAUUUCCGGACCCAGGAGGUUUAAAGUGAAGAAUGGCCUGUACAGAUGAAAUCCAACAGCAUGAGGCUCUGGAUGAGAUGGAAGUUUGUGAUCAGGAAGUUGUGGAUACAUCAGUGUCAGAUUUACCCAAGAUGAACCAUGACAUGAAGUUAGCUGAAGUGAAGUCCAAGGCCGAGGUUAAAACCACAGAUUAUCAAUCCCAUGAAUAACACCGCAACGAAUGGAUCAACUGUGAAGUCCAUGUUGAAGGUUUUGAAGGUGCUGAUGGUGCAGAUCUUCGUGGCCCCUGUUCCCAGGUCAUGGCUGAUGUCUUUGGUGGGCUUUAGCAAACACACAAAUGUAACCAGGGUUAAAAUGUGUAAUUGAUGGUUUUUCCAACACUCUCUCUGAUCCUUGAAUGCAGCAUGACCUGCACAUAUGAUGUCAGUUGGCUAAUCAAGGUGCUAUAGAAGCUGCCCUGACUAAAGUUUCAUAUACAUAAAAAUAAAUUCACCAAAACACACCCAAAUUUUAAAAUCUUCCUAUUAGAAUUUGAAAAAUAUAUUAAAUUUUUAGAAUUUAUCUAUAAAAAAAAAAAAAAAACCU